UCGCUUUGACAGCACAUACAUUAAAAUUGGAACGAUACAGACAUUAGCACAGCCAUUGCACAAGGACAACACACAAACUCAAGAAACAUUCCGUAAUUUC
rnacentral:snRNA from 1 species